rnacentral:rRNA from 1 species
UACGUAGGGUCCGAGCGUUGUCCGGAAUCACUGGGCGUAAAGCGCGCGCAGGCGGCGAUCUACGUCCGGGGUGAAAGCCCAGAGCUCAACUCUGGGACUGCCUUGGAUACGGGAUCGCUUGAGGAUCGGAGAGGCAAGGGGAAUUCCACGUGUAGCGGUGAAAUGCGUAGAGAUGUGGAGGAACACCUGUGGCGAAGGCGGGUCUCUGGGCCGAUACUGACGCUGAGGAGCGAAAGCGUGGGGAGCGAACAGG